UCCAGAUAGAGUUCAGCUCCAAAUCUGUCUGGGAGGAGUUCGGCUGCCUCCUGUGUGACGGGCCGAUAGAGUGGUUGUGUCAGCAGCCUGUCGGUUUCCUGCACUCUCCAGAAUGUCCUGCAUACAUACUGAACUCCUUCGAGCUGAGCGGCGAGCUGCGGAUUGUGAUGUUUGUGGAGACGGAGGACCAGAUGAGUGUGAUGGAGAAGGCCCGGCGCCUCAUGGAGCCCUGAUCAUCACCAACCAUCAGGUUUCAUCUUCAUCAGCUGAGAUAGUAACCUGCUGCUGUGACUUUAUAGUAUUAUUAUUAUUAUUUUGAUUAAUAUAAAUGAUCUCUUCAUUCUGCUGAGUCAGCAUUUGAAUUCUUAUUACUUUUAAUGUUCACUGCAGCCUCGUCAGUUCAGCUGAUGUUUCAUUGAUUUAUUCAGCAGUUUACAUUUUCAUGAUUUUAUUUUAAUACUUUUAUUGAAAGUGUAUUUUAACAAAAACAGGAAAAAGAUUUUUAUCAACUGAAACAAACUUUUUAACAAUUUCUGGUAAUUCAGAAUUAUUUAGUUUUUUAAUCUACAUUUUUAAAUAUUUGUGUGAAUAUGUAUUAACUUACUAUAUUUAUAUAUUUUUUAUUUAAAUCUGUCGGCUUGAUUUCAUCAUAAACACAUUUUAGACACUUUAUAUUUAAAACUAAAUGUUGCACUUUGGAUGGAAACUGAGUAAAAAUAUGCAGCGUGUUACUGAAUAUUAAUUGUAAUUUAUUAUUUUUUGUUUGAAUUCAAUCUUACAGUGAAUGUUUGGUACUAAGCACAGUCAGCAUUUAUUGAAACUGUUUUGCACAAAAAAAGAAACUUGAAUUGUAUCAACUUUCUUUUAAACACUUUGAUAAACUGAGAAAUGUGAAAUAAAUCAGUGAAAGAAAACUUUGGACUCAGAACAUUUUUAUAUUAUCAGUUUUCAAUAACACACGCACACACACACACACACACACACACACACACACACACACACACACACACACACACGCGUCCCUUUCAGGAGAAAUAAACUUUAUUAUGAACGUUUGUUUAUUUGAUUUUAUGUUUUGUUAUAUGUUAUGUUGUUAUGUUAUGAUAUAUUAAUAUUCACUUGUUUUAAUCAACAAGCAAAACUUUUGUCACAUUUGCAUUUGAUUCGUGUGUUUUUUU